GGGAUAAGCCCAGCACCGAAGCCUGUGCGCAUUUGGUUACUAGGCAAUGUAUGUGGUGUUUAGGUCGUUCCGCGGAGGUUCUGCUCCACCCUAAGUCCAUCAAUCAAUGAGUACGGUAUUAUGGACAUGGCCCACAGAGGGUGAAAGGCCCGUGGGUGGGGGUGGAGAUUCGGUAGGCCAGAACUUCCCUGGGUAGACCUUGGAGUCGGGCGGGUUGUUUGUGAAUGCAGCCCAAAGUGGGUGGGUAAACUCCAUCCAAGGCUAGCUAAAUACUUGCACGAGUCCGAUAGCGAACAAGUACCGUGAGGAAAGUUGAAAGAAAAGUACUUUGAAGAGAGAGUAAACAGUGCGUGAAACCGCUCAGAGGUAAACAAACGGGUGGAGUUGAACUGCAAGCUCUGGGAAUUCAACUGGUGAGUGUGGUUUGUUUGAGCUUGGUCAUAUUGGUGGACGUCGGGGUCUGCGUAGAAGCAGGUCUUCCUUCGCCUUCGGGUGGGGAUGCGCGAUGCACUUAUCAAGUGUUGUGCGCCUCGGUCGGUUGUUCCCGGCCAACUCGCUAGUGCACUUUCUCAGAGUGGUCACCAACCACGACCGGCACCGCUGUUUGGCCACUGUGGUUAAACCGAGUUUGCAUAGUCAGUCCGAGUGGCUUUGUAAGGUCGGGAUGGCAGGUAGCUCGCUGACUCUCUUGUUUGUGGUUUCGCCAUAAGUGUUGUCUUCAAGUCUAAUCCGCUGACCGUGGUGGUUGGUUCUGUGCAGUGUGUCGGGGACGGCGGCUCGAGGUGUGUGCAUGCGUUGCUUGCUGUUGUGCUGACUGGUCCGAGUGUGGUUAUUUUGUAGCCUGUUCAAUCAGGCAGGUCUGUUAGUGGCUCGGAUUUGUUCGCGUGACGCUGGCGUGUGUGGCACUGACUG
rnacentral:rRNA from 1 species